AUAUCGACGGCGGUGUUUGGCACCUCGAUGUCGGCUCAUCACAUCCUGGGGCUGAAGUAGGUCCCAAGGGUAUGGCUGUUCGCCAUUUAAAGUGGUACGCGAGCUGGGUUUAGAACGUCGUGAGACAGUUCGGUCCCUAUCUGCCGUGGGCGCUGGAGAACUGAGGGGGGCUGCUCCUAGUACGAGAGGACCGGAGUGGACGCAUCACUGGUGUUCGGGUUGUCAUGCCAAUGGCACUGCCCGGUAGCUAAAUGCGGAAGAGAUAAGUGCUGAAAGCAUCUAAGCACGAAACUUGCCCCGAGAUGAGUUCUCCCUGACCCUUUAAGGUCCUGAAGGAACGUUGAAGACGACGACGUUGAUAGGCCGGGUGUGUAAGCGCAGCGAUGCGUUGAGCUAACCGGUACUAAUGAACCGUGAGGCUUAACCUU
rnacentral:rRNA from 1 species